rnacentral:rRNA from 1 species
UACGGAGGGGGCGAGCGUUAUUCGGAAUUAUUGGGCGUAAAGGGCGCGUAGGCGGCCGGAUAAGUCAAAGGUGAAAUCCCUCGGCUCAACUGAGGAACUGCCUUUGAAACUGUUUGGCUCGAGUCCGGGAGGGGGUAGCGGAAUUCCCAGUGUAGCGGUGAAAUGCGCAGAUAUCAGGAGGAACACCGAUGGCGAAGGCAGGUCUCUGGGCAUUAACUGACGCUGAGGAGCGAAAGCAUGGGGAGCGAACAGG